UGAGUAACCUGCCCUUUCACUUCGGGAUAACUCCGGGAAACCGGGGCUAAUACUGGAUAUGACUUCGAUGGGCAUCUGUCGGGGUGGAAAGUUCUUCGGCUGAGGAUGGGCCCGCGGCCUAUCAGCUUGUUGGUGGGGUGAUGGCCUACCAAGGCGACGACGGGUAGCCGGUCUGAGAGGGCGACCGGCCACACUGGGACUGAGACACGGCCCAGACUCCUACGGGAGGCAG
rnacentral:rRNA from 1 species